UGGAAUUGUUUUUUCAGGAACGCCUAUUGCC
rnacentral:piRNA from 1 species